rnacentral:rRNA from 1 species
UACAGAGGUGGCAAGCGUUGUUCGGAAUUACUGGGCGUAAAGGGCGCGUAGGCGGUCUUGUAAGUCCCGUGUGAAAUCCCUCGGCUCAACUGAGGAACUGCACGGGAAACUGCUUGGCUUGAGUUCGGGAGAGGGAAGCGGAAUUCCCGGUGUAGUGGUGAAAUGCGUAGAUAUCGGGAGGAACACCAGUGGCGAAGCGGCUUUCUGGUCUGCUCUUGACGCUGAGGCGCGAAAGCUAGGGUAGCAAACGGG